UCCAAGCUUCCUUGUCGUUUGUCUUUCGUCCAUCUCAAGUGCUGUGAGUUCGCCGGAAGUCUUUUGCUCUUCUCACGUUGGAGUCGUGCAGCGAACCUUCUCUCUUCUUCUUCUUCCUUUCAGUUCGUUAUACAGAGCUGUGACUCAUCUUGCUUCCUUGUUCGGUCUCAGUUGAGCAAGGUACAGAUUAUGGGAUUUUUUUUCUUUUUCUUUCUGUUGCUACUGUCAAGUUUCUCAGCUAUGUUUUUAAUUUGUUAUGCUUCCUUCUACUCGAUUCUGGCUGUUGCUCUGUUCUUGUAAAAUAUGUCCACGCGUUGCUAAUGGUUGGAAGGAAUCAGGUCGUCGGAAUUGGUAGUGCUGGUCAUGAGCUAAAAUUAACGCUGAUUCUGGUCUUUUUCUUUUCUUUUGAGCAGUGUUUUGUCUUCCUCUAUUCCUUGCAUCAGCUGGAGAAUUCCAUUUUCUCUCCCUGUUCUGCUGUAGGUUCUGUCUUCUUCGUUACCUUUGCUGUUAUUGUUGUUUCAGGACGCGUGGAGGAAGAGGAUCCCGAUAGAAAUUAAAUAAAUAAUAUUUUGGAGAUUUGAAAUCACAACAGAUUGGUUAGCU